GACGAACGCUGGCGGCGUGCCUAAUACAUGCAAGUAGAACGCUGAAGCGAGGAGCUUGCUCUUCUUGGAUGAGUUGCGAACGGGUGAGUAACGCGUAGGUAACCUGCCUGGUAGCGGGGGAUAACUAUUGGAAACGAUAGCUAAUACCGCAUAAAAUUGAUUAUUGCAUGAUAAUUAAUUGAAAGAUGCAACUGCAUCACUACCAGAUGGACCUGCGUUGUAUUAGCUAGGUGGUGAGGUAACGGCUCACCAAGGCGACGAUACAUAGCCGACCUGAGAGGGUGAUCGGCCACACUGGGACGGAGACACGGCCCAGACUCCUACGGGAGGGAGCAGGAGGGAAUCUUCGGCAAUGGGGGGAACACUGACCGAGCAACGCCGCGUGAGGGAAGAAGGGUGUCGGAUCGGAAAGCUCUGUUGUAAGAGAAGAACGGGUGUGAGAGUGGAAAGUUCACACUGUGACGGUAACUUACCAGAAAGGGACGGCUAACUACGUG
rnacentral:rRNA from 1 species